GAGGAAAAUCCAAGAAUAAAUUUUCGUCCAAUGAGCAUUCAUUUCCUUCCUCCCUCCUGAACCAGUUGUCCUGGCUCAUGACAUGAAUAACCUGUUUCCUGCUGUGAACUACCUUGUCUUAUUACUCACUCCGACCUCAAUAAAGAAAACACAAUAAUCGAGCCUUCCAUGGCUCGCAGACCUAAGCUGGCAGCCUGUUCACACAGCACACCAUUUGUUCUGGGACACUGCAGGUUAAGCCAAGAGGGUUUCUCUCUGAAACAAAAUACGCUCAAUAAAGCCACAAAGAAAAAAAUACCACCUCUUAGAGAAGCAUGUUGAGUAAAGAUACAGAGAUUUUUUUUAAAAAAAUUAUUCUUUGCUUUCUGCAGAAGGCCAAGUCCAGAUCUUGAGUGAGUACAAAUCCACGAGGAAGCAGAGAUGAGCAAGGCUCAACAAUUCAUUUGGACCUUGACUGAUUUUUUUCAAGCUUCCCUUGAAAUGGCAGCAGAGGGACUAACAAGAACAUGAGCUGCAAGGAUAAAGAGACAGCAAAGGAGAAGAGAACAAUAAAAUCUCAGACCUGGGGAGCACAGGGAACAGCUGAACCGACUGAGGAGACCGGGGAGAUGAAAACUGGGCGUUGCAGGAAGGUCCCCAAACCCCGAGGUCUUCAGUACAAAAUGUGAGGCUGCAGAAUUGGGGGCCCAGGUACUUCUACAUGUGGGUGCGCAAGUGACGUUAGAAACUGGAAGGCUGCCUGAGAGUCUGCGCCAGAAGCUCUGGAUCCUCAGAUUCCCUCCCUCGUACAACCGGAGCAACUGGGCGACUUUGCUCUACAAAGAAGCGGAGCAACGCCUUCCGAAUUCUCAGCGAAGGAGUUCCCGUCCCGGUGGAGUGGAAACGAACCCAGCAAGGAUCCAUGAGGAACCAUUUCAACUCCCUAUUUGGUUGGCCUUCUUUGAGAUUCUCUCCAGAUCCACGGCCCUUCCACCCCGAGUCCCUGCAUCCAGAGCGGCAGCGAGUGCCUCUCUAAAGGUCAGUGCUGAAUCCCAUUUCUGCUGGGCGAGCUCGCCUUCCUCGCGCGCGUGUGCGCGCACGGCAAACACCGCCGUCCUUUGUGCUCAGAGAGAAUCUGCACAGAGAACUGGUUACACUCUCUCUCUAAGUCUGUUUGACCAAACGUGUAAUUGCCCUCGUGAGUUUAUAUCUGUCUUUUCAUAAUGUUCAAUGCUCC
rnacentral:lncRNA from 9 species